CUAUAGUACAAUUUUGUGAAAAGUAUUAUUUUUUAUUAUACUUCAUGUGUUUAAAACCUAUGAUCAUUUUGUUUCAACCAAAAUUCGCCGUUCAUAUAGCGUAUAUGACUUAAACAAAUAAAGAACAAAUCUAACAUUUUUAACGAAACAUGAGUUCGACAUCCAACUGUCAGACAAAAUUCGAUGACAGUGGGCCUUUUACAUAUGAAUUCUAUUCAGUUGCUAUUUUUAUGGAAUAUCAUCCGUAGUCAAGCAAUGUUACCGUUGCUACGUUGGAGAUGAAAGAAUAAUAUUAUAGAAUUGUUAAAAUUCAAGAAGGUUCAGAGACAAUUAAAUCAAAUGUCCAAGAAGUAAUGAAGGAGCUACAGAUUAGGAGCUCGUUGAAUAUUGUGUAGAAUAUUAAAGAAUUGGGCGUUUUACUUAAUUUUAUAAGAAUGGAGAGUGCUGGGGAGUUCAUUUUAAGUGGAUGUGAAUCCUAUACUGCUUGUAAUUAUUUUAGAGAAGCUACAUAGUUCAAAUUUGUAUGGAAGUGUUGGACGAGAAGGGAAUAUUUUCAUUCACGAUUGCAAAUUUUUAAAAACACAGAUUUGCGAUCUAAGUUUGUUGCUUGUAUUGAUACGUUUUUUUUUAUUUUGCUUGUGUAUUGUAAACUUAAUAUCAAGUGGGUUCAAAGUAUUACAAAAUGUUACAUGUUUGUUUGAAUAUACAUGUAUUUUAUAUUCUUAUUAGUACACAGAUUUGCGAUCCUAAAGUCGUUGCUUGAGACAAUAUGUUUAUUUUAUUUUACUUAUGUAUUGUGUACUUAAUAUCAAUAUGUUUCAGUGAAUUUACAGAGUGUUUUCAUGUCGUCCUAUGAAAUAAUACAUCAUUUGACAUUAUUGACAGAAAUGAACGUCUUGACCAAUUUC